rnacentral:rRNA from 1 species
CCAGACUCCUACGGGAGGCAGCAGUGGGGGAUAUUGCACAAUGGGGGAAACCCUGAUGCAGCGACGCCGCGUGGGCGAAGAAGUAUUUCGGUAUGUAAAGCCCUAUCAGCAGGGAAGAAGAAAUGACGGUACCUGAGUAAGAAGCACCGGCUAAAUACGUGCCAGCAGCCGCGGUAAUACGUAUGGUGCAAGCGUUAUCCGGAUUUACUGGGUGUAAAGGGAGCGUAGACGGCCAUGCAAGCCAGGGGUGAAAGCCCGGGGCCCAACCCCGGGACUGCCCUUGGAACUGCAUGGCUGGAGUGCGGGAGGGGCAGGCGGAAUUCCUGGUGUAGCGGUGAAAUGCGUAGAUAUCAGGAGGAACACCGGCGGCGAAGGCGGCCUGCUGGACCGCGACUGACGUUGAGGCUCGAAAGCGUGGGGAGCGAACAGGAUUAGAUACCCCAGUA